UGGGGAAUAUUGCACAAUGGGCGCAAGCCUGAUGCAGCAACGCCGCGUGAACGAUGAAGGUCUUCGGAUCGUAAAGUUCUGUUGCAGGGGAAGAUAAUGACGGUACCCUGUGAGGAAGCCCCGGCUAACUACGUGCCAGCAGCCGCGGUAAUACGUAGGGGGCUAGCGUUAUCCGGAUUUACUGGGCGUAAAGGGUGCGUAGGUGGUCUUUCAAGUCGGUGGUUAAAGGCUACGGCUCAACCGUAGUUAGCCUCCGAAACUGGAAGACUUGAGUGCAGGAGAGGAAAGUGGAAUUCCCAGUGUAGCGGUGAAAUGCGUAGAUAUUAGGAGGAACACCAGUAGCGAAGGCGGCUUUCUGGACUGCAACUGACACUGAGGCACGAAAGCGUGGGUAGCAAACAGG
rnacentral:rRNA from 1 species